CAAACCUCUCUGGUUACCUGUCCAUGUUGCUUUCACAAGUCAGGAAACAUUACUGUUUGUUAAUGGCAGUGGUUAUUCGUACUGCUUGCAUUUUUAGUACUGUAUAGGCACUUGUGAAAGAUCUCAAUCAACCCUUUAAUUAUGUGGUCUGACGUGGUUACAUACCAGAUUUCUUAAGUGAAAACUUUCAACAACGGAUCUCUUGGCUCUCGCAUCGAUGAAGAACGCAGCGAAAUGCGAUAAGUAAUGUGAAUUGCAGAAUUCAGUGAAUCAUCGAAUCUUUGAACGCACAUUGCGCCCUUUGGCAUUCCUUAGGGCAUGCCUGCUCGAGCGUCACAGAAAACCCCAUCACAGAUACUGUGGUCUUGGUAUGAGUGGGUUGAUAGUAUGUGGAGACAUGCUUAUAACACUCACUCUACUGAAAUUUAUAGACAGGAUACCAGAUAUGGGCAAUAGACUUUGUAAAUAUCCACAGGAUAUAUCAGUCAUGUGUUAUGUUUGGUCCUGAAAUUAUAGACUCGGACUCCUAUUCUAUAUAAAUAUUGGGUUGACCUCGAAUCAGGUAGGGAUACCCGCUGAACUUAAGCAUAUCAAUAAGCGGA
rnacentral:sRNA from 1 species